rnacentral:rRNA from 1 species
CUAACAUGUGUGCUAGUCAAUGGGAGAGUAAACCUGUGAGGCACAAGGAAGCUAAUUGGUAUGAUUCCCCAAGGGGUGCAACGCCAACCGACCUUGAUCCUCUGAGAAGGGUUUGAGUGAGAGCGUACAUGUCGGGACCCGAAAUAUGGUGAACUAUGCCUGAGCAGGGCGAAGUAAGGGAAAACUCUGGUGGAGGCCCGCAGCGAUGCUGACGUGCAAAUAGUUCGUCUGACUUAGGUAUAGGGGCAAAAGAUUAAUCGAACCAUCUAGUAGCUGG